CUUAACACAUGCAAGUCGAGCGGUAACAGGAGAAGCUUGCUUCUCGCUGACGAGCGGCGGACGGGUGAGUAAUACUUAGGAAUCUACCUAGUAGUGGGGGAUAGCUCGGGGAAACUCGAAUUAAUACCGCAUACGACCUACGGGAGAAAGGGGGCAACUUGUUGCUCUCGCUAUUAGAUGAGCCUAAGUCGGAUUAGCUAGAUGGUGGGGUAAAGGCCUACCAUGGCGACGAUCUGUAGCUGGUCUGAGAGGAUGAUCAGCCACACCGGGACUGAGACACGGCCCGGACUCCUACGGGAGGCAGCAGUGGGGAAUAUUGGACAAUGGGGGCAACCCUGAUCCAGCCAUGCCGCGUGUGUGAAGAAGGCCUUUUGGUUGUAAAGCACUUUAAGCAGUGAAGAAGACUCCAUGGUUAAUACCCAUGGACGAUGACAUUAGCUGCAGAAUAAGCACCGGCUAACUCUGUGCCAGCAGCCGCGGUAAUACAGAGGGUGCAAGCGUUAAUCGGAAUUACUGGGCGUAAAGCGAGCGUAGGUGGCUUGAUAAGUCAGAUGUGAAAGCCCCGGGCUUAACCUGGGAACGGCAUCUGAUACUGUUAGGCUAGAGUAGGUGAGAGGAAGGUAGAAUUCCAGGUGUAGCGGUGAAAUGCGUAGAGAUCUGGAGGAAUACCGAUGGCGAAGGCAGCCUUCUGGCAUCAUACUGACACUGAGGUUCGAAAGCGUGGGUAGCAAACAGGAUUAGAUACCCUGGUAGUCCACGCCGUAAACGAUGUCUACUAGUCGUUGGGUCCUUGAGGACUUAGUGACGYAGCUAACGSAAUAAGUAGACCGCUGGGGAGUACGGMCGCAAGGUUAAAACUCAAAUGAAUUAACGGGGGCCCGCACAAGCGSUGGAGCAUGUGSUUUAAUUCGAUGCAACGCGAAGAACCUUACCURGUCUUGACAUAUCUAGAAUCCURCAGAGAUGCGGGAGUACCUWCGGRAAUWAGAAUACAGGUGCUGCAUGGCUGUCGWCAGCUCGUGUCGUGAGAURUUGGGUUAAGUCCCGCAACGAGCGCAACCCUURUCCUUAGUUACCAGCGGUUUGGCCGGGAACUCUAAGGAUACURCCAGUCGAMAAAMMURGAGGAAGGCGGGGACGA
rnacentral:rRNA from 1 species